rnacentral:rRNA from 1 species
AUACGGAGGGUGCAAGCGUUAUCCAGAUUUAUUGGGUUUAAAGGGUGCGCAGGCGGACCUGUCAGUCAGUGGUGAAAUCCCGGGGCUCAACCCCGGAACUGCCAUUGAUACUACAGGUCUGGAAUACGGUUGAAGUAGGCGGAAUGUAGCAUGUAGCGGUGAAAUGCAUAGAUAUGCUACAGAACACCGAUCGCGAAGGCAGCUUACUAAGCCGAUAUUGACGCUCAGGCACGAAAUCGUGGGUAGCGAACAGGAUUAGAAACCCUAGUAGUCC